rnacentral:rRNA from 1 species
AACAGGAAGAAGCUUGCUUCUUUGCUGACGAGUGGCGGACGGGUGAGUAAUGUCUGGGAAACUGCCUGAUGGAGGGGGAUAACUACUGGAAACGGUAGCUAAUACCGCAUAACGUCGCAAGACCAAAAAGGGGGACCUUCGGGCCUCUUGCCAUCGGAUGUGCCCAGAUGGGAUUAGCUAGUAGGUGGGGUAACGGCUCACCUAGGCGACGAUCCCUAGCUGGUCUGAGAGGAUGACCAGCCACACUGGAACUGAGACACGGUCCAGACUCCUACGGGAGGCAGCAGUGGGGAAUACUGCACAAUGGGCGCAAGCCUGAUGCAGCCAUGCCGCGUGUAUGAAGAAGGCCUUCGGGUUGUAAAGUACUUUCAGCGGGGAGGAGGGGAGUAAAGUUAAUACCUUUGCUCAUUGACGUUACCCGCAGAAGAAGCACCGGCUAACUCCGUGCCAGCAGCCGCGGUAAUACGGAGGGUGCAAGCGUUAAUCGGAAUUACUGGGCGUAAAGCGCACGCAGGCGGUUUGUUAAGUCAGAUGUGAAUCCCCGGGCUCAACCUGGGAACUGCAUCUGAUACUGGCAAGCUUGA